rnacentral:rRNA from 1 species
ACGCACUCUGGCGGCGUGCUUAACACAUGCAAGUCGAACGGGCCCGCCCCUGUUUUUGGGGGUGGGUUGAGUGGCGAACGGGUGAGUAUCACGUGAGUAACCUGCCCCCUGCUCCUGGAUAACUGCUUGAAAGGGCGGCUAAUACGGGGUGUGCCGGCUGGUCCGCAUGGGCCUGGUCGGGAUAGUUUCAUCUUCGGGUGUUUCGGUGGGGGAUGGGCUCGCGGCCUAUCAGCUUGUUGGUGGGGUGAUGGCCCACCAAGGCGGUGACGGGUAGCCGGCCUGAGAGGGUGGGCGGCCACACUGGGACUGAGACACGGCCCAGACUCCUGCGGGAGGCAGCAGUGGGGGGUAUUGCACAAUGGGCGGAAGCCUGAUGCAGCGACGUCGCGUGAGGGAUGGAGGCCUUCGGGUUGUGAACCUCUUUCUCCGGUGGUGAAGGCCCUGUCCGUUGCGGCGGGGUUGACGGUAGCCGGGUAUGAAGCGCCGGCUAACUACGUG